rnacentral:misc_RNA from 1 species
UCCUGGUUAACCCAGGCAGUCUCAUUAGAGUUCCCACCUUCACGUGUUGGCAACUAAUGAUAAGGGUUGCGCUCGUUGCGGGACUUAACCCAACACCUCACGGCACGAGCUGACGACAGCCAUGCAGCACCUGUGCACCGGCCCCGAAGGGAAACGCCAUCUCUGGCGUCGUCCAGUGCAUGUCAAGCCUGGGUAAGGUUCUUCGCGUUGCAUCGAAUUAAACCACAUGCUCCACUGCUUGUGCGGGUCCCCGUCAAUUCUUUUGAGUUUUAACCUUGCGGCCGUACUCCCCAGGCGGAUCACUUCACGCGUUAGCUACGGUACCAGGAGAUCGCUCCCCCAACACCUAGUGAUCAUCGUUUAGGGCGUGGACUAC